GUUCACAGACCGUGAAGAAGCUCCACCCCAAACACAGAGGCACUGCUUGCUUUGGCCCCAAAACCCUGGUGCAGGACCUAGGGGACGUAGGGCGGCAGGACGAACAUUGGCCCGGCCCUCGCCUCCUCCUGUGACCCCGCAACCCCUCACCUCCCGCGGGGAGAAGAGGCGUAAGCAUAUUCUCUUGUCUUUCUGCCUUCCACAAUGGAAUGAGCAGCAAGAAGGCCUUCAGCAGAUGCAGUGCCCUUGAACGUGGCCUUCCCAGCCUCCAGAACUGUAACAAAUAAGUCUAUGUUCUUCGUAGAUUACCCAGUCUCAGGUAUUCUGUUAUAGCAACAUAAAGUGAACUAAGACAGAAGACAUGGAUCAAAUUCUCCCCUAGAACCUUCAGAGAGGGCAUAGCCCUGCUGACAUUUUGAUUUCAGACUUCUAGCCUCUAGAACAAGGGUUCCAACCCCUGGGCUGAGGACCAAUACCAGUCCAUGCCUUGUUAGGAACCGAGCUGCAAAGCAGGAGGUAAGUAGCAGGUGAAUGAGCAUUGCCUGAGCUCUGCAUCCUGUCGGAUCAGUGACAGCAUUUGAUUCUUUUGGGACCGUGAACCCUAUUGUGAACCGCACAUGCAAGGGAUCUAGGUUGCACACACCUCAUGAGAAUCUAACUAAUGCCUGAUGAUCUGAGGUGGAACAGUUUCAUCCCAAAACCAUCCCCCAGUCCCCACAUCUGUGGGAAAACUGUCUUCCAUGAAACUGGUCCCUGGUACCAGAAAGGUUGAGGACUGCUGCUCUAGAACCAUGAGAGAACACAUUUCUGUUCUUUUAAGCCACCAGUUUGUGUACUUUGUCACCAUUGCCUUAGGAAGCUGACAUACUCCUCAAGGAGGUGGAACAUAACUCCCACACUUAAGGAGUGGGCAUAGUGACUUCCUUCCAAAAAGAACACUGUGGAAAGGGCGAAAAAAAAGUAACUUUACAGUAGCGAAACCUGAUGAAGCCAGGUGACCAAACUCAACAUCAACAGUGAUGACUCAUGUUGAUUGUAUGUACCUUGAUAUGAUGUGAUGAAUAUGUGGUCUUCCUCCCAAAAACCUAUAACCACCAGCCAGGCACGGUGGAUCACGCCCUGUAAUCCCAGCACUUUGGGAGGCCAAGGCAGGUGGAUCAUCUGAGGUCAGGAGUUCGAGACCAGCCCGGCCAACGUGGUGAAACCCUGUCUCUACUAAAAAUGCAAAAAUUAGCUGGGUGUGGUGGCGGGAGCCUGUAAUCCCAGCUACUCAGGAGGCUGAGGUAGGAGGUUGCAGUGAGCCAAGAUCCCGCCACUGCACUCCAGCCUGGGUAACAGAGCGAGACUCUGUCUCAAAAAAAAAAAAAAAUAGCCAAGUGUGGUGGGGGACACCUGUAAUCCCAGCUACUUGGGAGGCUGAGGCAGGAGAAUCACUUGAACCCAGGAGGCAGAGGUUGCAGUGAGCCAAGAUUGCACCACUGCCCUCCAGCCUGGGCAACAGAGUGAAAUGUGAAACUCCAUCUCCAAAAAAAAAAACAUCCAUAACCCCAGUCUAAAUGUGAGAAAAACAUUGAAAACAUUGGACAGAUUCCAAUGGAAGAGCAUUCUACAAAAUACGAGACCAAUAUUCAUCAAAACUGUCAAGGUUAUCAAAACCAAGGAGAAUCCGAGAAACCACCCCAAGCCAACAGGAGCCUAAGGAGACAUGAUAACUAGAUGCAGUGUGAUACACUGAAUGGUAUCCGGGAUUACAAAAAGGACAUUAGGUGAAGAUUAAGGAAAUCGGCUGGGCGCAGUGGCUCACGCCUGUAAUCCCAGCACUUUGGGAGGCCAAGGCGGGCGGAUCACGAGGUCAGGAGUUCAAGACCAGCCUGACCAACAUGGUGAAACCCGUUUCUACUAAAAACACAAAAAUUAGCCGCGCAUAGUGGCAUGGAUCUGUAAUCUUGGCUACUCAGGAGGCUGAGGCAGGAGAAUCACUUGAAACUGGGAAGUGGAGGUUGCAGUGAGCCAACAUCGCACCACUGCACUCCAGCCUGGGUGACAGAGCAAGACUCCAGCUCAAAAAAAAAAAAAAAUACUUAAGAAAAUCUGGGCCAGGUGCAGUGGCUCACACCUAUAAUCCCAGAACUUUGGAAGGCCAAGGCAGGAGGAUUACUUGAGCCCAGGAGUUUGAAUUUACAAUGAGCCAUGAUCAUGUCACUGCACUCCAACCUGGCUGACAGAGGAAGGUCCUGUCCCUAAAUUUAAAAAUAAAUAAAUAAAUCUGAAUAAACUGUGGACUUCAUUUAUAAUCAUUGGUCAAUAUUGGUUAAUUAAUUGGAACAAAUGGACCAUACUAACAUAAGAUUAAUAAUAGGAAUAAUAGGAGAAACAGAGUGGAGUAAAGGGGUAACUAUAUGUUCAAUUUUUUCUUUUUUUUUUUUUUUUUUUUUGAGAUGGAGUUUCACUCUGUUCACCCAGGCUGGAGUUCAGUGGUUUGAUCUCGGCUCACUGCAACCUCUGCCUUCUGGAUUCAAGUGAUUCUUCUGCUUCAGCCUCCUAAGUAGCUGGGACUACAGGUGCACGCCACCACACCCAGCUAAUUUUUGUAUUUUAAGUAGAGAUGGGGUUUCACCAUGUUGGCCAGGCUGGUCUUGAACUCCUGAACUCAAGUGAUCCACCCGCCUGAGCCUCCCAAAGUACUGGGAUUACAGGUGUGAGCCACAACGCCUGGCCUAUAUCUUCAAUUUUUAUAUAAGUCUAAACAGUUCCAUAAAAUAAAAUCUGCUUCAAAUUUUUUUUUUUUUUGAGACAGAGUCUUGCUCUGUGGGUCAGGUUGGAGUGCAGUGGCACAGUCUUGGCCACUGCAACCUCCGUCUCCCCGGCUCAAGCAAUUCACCUGCCUCAUCCUCCGAAGUAGCUGGGAUUACAGGCAUGUGCCACCAUGCCUGGCUAAUUUUUGUAUUUUUAGUAGAGACGAGGUUUCACCAUGUUGGCCAGGCUGGUCUUGAACUCCUGACCUCAGGUAAUCCACCCGCCUCGGCCUCCCAAAGUGCCAGGAUUACAGGUAUGAACCACUGCACCCAGCUUCAAAAUUUUUUAAGAUUAAAAAAAAAAAAAAACCAGUGUUGCAAAGAUGUCAAUAUUCCUCCAAAAUGCUAUAAAAGUUAACUUUUUUUUAAGAGAACAAAUUUAUUAUGGUGCUUACUCUACGACAAUUUGCCAUUUGAUCUUCAUAUCAUUGCUGGUGGGCAUCAUAAUGGACUUUUUUUUUCCAUUGUAAUUCUGUGUUCUUUGUGGCAGAACUGUUUCCUAUGUGAAUGCCUCACUUGAUGAUCUUGGUUGAAGAUGAGGGUAUGUGGUUAUGUCAUUAUUCCCUGAAUGAUUGUUUGCAGUGUGCUGCAGGUAAAGAGCUUCGUAAUAGAGGUGUCCUUCAGGGAGGCCCUCAGGUUUCCUGAACAAGACCCACAGAAAGGCUGCAUCUGAUUGGGCUCACCAUGCCUUAAGAUCUAGAAUCCAUUUCUACAAAUUCAAACCCUUAGUUCUGUCCCUUUUGCCCAGAGCUGAUAUACCUAUAGAAGGCAGGUCCCCUGACUGAGCUCCACAGGCAGAUGUAGAAGCCAGAACCAACCCUGUAAGAGGCCAGAAAACCAAUCUGGUCAGGUGACCCUUCAGGAAAAUACAGAAAGAAUAAUUCCACUAACACAUAAUAUUUGCCAUGUAAACAUUUUUAUUGGCCAGGCACAGUGGCUCACACCUGUAAUCCUAGCACUUUGGGAGGUUGAGGCAGGCAGAUCACUUGAGCCCAGGAGUUUGAGACCAGCCUGGCCAAUUUGGUGAAAUCCUGUCUCUACAAAAAAAAUACAAAAAUUAUCUGGGCGUGGUGGCAUGCACCUGUAGUCCCAGCUACUUGGGAGGCCA
rnacentral:lncRNA from 10 species